rnacentral:SRP_RNA from 10 species
CGCGGGAGUUCUGGUCGGGUGCCUCAGGUGGCCUCGACAAACCAGCCAGGUCCAGCGGGAAACAGCAAUGCCGGAUGUGGCGGGCACAGUGGGAAAACCGUGCCUG